GAUGAACGCUAGCGGCAGGCUUAAUACAUGCAAGUCGAGGGGCAGCGCGGGUAGCAAUACCUGGCGGCGACCGGCAAAACGGGUGCGGAACACGUACGCAACCUUCCCAAAACUGGUGAAUAGCCCUCCGAAAGGAGGAUUAAUACACCGUACCAUAAUGAAGAGGCAUCUCUUUGUUAUUAUAGCCGCAAGGCGGUUUUGGAUGGGCGUGCGCCUGAUUAGGUAGUUGGCGGGGUAACGGCCCACCAAGCCUGCGAUCAGUAACUGGUGUGAGAGCACGACCAGUCACACGGGCACUGAGACACGGGCCCGACUCCUACGGGAGGCAGCAGUAAGGAAUAUUGGUCAAUGGACGCAAGUCUGAACCAGCCAUGCCGCGUGAAGGAUGACGGCCCUCUGGGUUGUAAACUUCUUUUAUCUGGGACGAAAAAAGGGCUUUCUAGCUCACUUGACGGUACCAGAGGAAUAAGCACCGGCUAACUCCGUG
rnacentral:rRNA from 1 species